UUACUGCAUUCCCUAGUAGCGGCGAGCGAAGCGGGAAGAGCUCAAAUUUAUAAUCUGGCACCUUCGGUGUCCGAGUUGUAAUCUCUAGAAGUGUUUUCCGCGUUGGACCGCACACAAGUCUGUUGGAAUACAGCGGCACAGUGGUGAUACCCCCGUACACGGUGCGGACGCCCAGCGCUUUGUGAUACACUUUCAAUGAGUCGAGUUGUUUGGGAAUGCAGCUCAAAUUGGGUGGUAAAUUCCAUCUAAAGCUAAAUAUUGGCGAGAGACCGAUAGCGAACAAGUACCGUGAGGGAAAGAUGAAAAGCACUUUGGAAAGAGAGUUAACAGUACGUGAAAUUGUUGGAAGGGAAACGCUUGAAGUCAGACUUGCUUGCCGGAGCUUGCUUCGGUUUGCAGGCCAGCAUCAGUUUUCCGGGGUGGAUAAUGGUGGUUUGAAGGUAGCAGCCUCGGCUGUGUUAUAGCUUUCCACUGGAUACAUCCUGGGGGACUGAGGAACGCAGCGUGCUUUUUGCGAAGGUUUCGACCUUUUCACGCUUAGGAUGCUGGUGUAAUGACUUUAAACGACCCGUCUUGAAACACGAACCAA
rnacentral:rRNA from 1 species